rnacentral:rRNA from 1 species
GACGAACGCUGGCGGCGUGCUUAACACAUGCAAGUCGAACGGUGAAGCUCCAGCUUGCUGGAGUGGAUCAGUGGCGAACGGGUGAGUAACACGUGAGCAACCUGCCCCUGACUCUGGAAUAAGCGCUGGAAACGGCGUCUAAUACUGGAUACGAGAAGGGUCCGCAUGGGCACUUUCUGGAAAGUUUUUCGGUUGGGGAUGGGCUCGCGGCCUAUCAGCUUGUUGGUGAGGUAAUGGCUCACCAAGGCGACGACGGGUAGCCGGCCUGAGAGGGCGACCGGCCACAUGGGGAAAGAGAACCGCCCCAGCCUCCUGGGGGGGGAAGGGGGGGGAAAUUUUGACAAGGGGGCAAAGGCGUGAUGCGGCGCGGCGGGGUGGGGAAGGCCGCCUUGGGGUUGUAAAACCUCUUCCGGCGGGAAAGAAGAAAAGGUGGGGGUGCCUAAAGAAGGGGCCCGGGCUACUUCGGGG